CCUACGGGUGGCAGCAGUGGGGAAUAUUGGGCAAUGGGCGCAAGCCUGACCCAGCAACGCCGCGUGAAGGAAGAAGGCUUUCGGGUUGUAAACUUCUUUUGUCAGGGAGGAGUAGAAGACGGUACCUGACGAAUAAGCCACGGCUAACUACGUGCCAGCAGCCGCGGUAAUACGUAGGUGGCAAGCGUUGUCCGGAUUUACUGGGUGUAAAGGGCGUGUAGCCGGGUUGACAAGUCAGAUGUGAAAUCCUGAGGCUUAACCGCAGAACUGCAUCUGAAACUGUUGAUCUUGAGUAUUGGAGAGGCAGAUGGAAUUCCUAGUGUAGCGGUGAAAUGCGUAGAGAUUAGGAGGAACACCAGUGGCGAAGGCGGUCUGCUGGACAGCAACUGACGGUGAGGCGCGAAAGCGUGGGGAGCAAACAGGAUUAGAUACCCCUGUAGUC
rnacentral:rRNA from 1 species